UAUUGCACAAUGGGCGAAAGCCUGAUGCAGCCACGCCGCGUGAGCUAUGGAGGCCUUCGGGUCGUAAAGCUCUGUCCUCAAGGAAGAUAAUGACGGUACUUGAUGAGGCAGCCCCUGCUAACUACGUGCCAGCAGCCGCGGUAAUACGUAGGGGGCUAGCGUUAUCCGGAAUUACUGGGCGUAAAGGGUGCGUAGGUGGUUUCUUAAGUCAGAGGUGAAAGGCUACGGCUCAACCGUAGUAAGCCGUUGAAACUGGGGAACUUGAGUGCAGGAGAGGAGAGUGGAAUUCCUAGUGUAGCGGUGAAAUGCGUAGAUAUUAGGAGGAACACCAGUUGCGAAGGCGGCUCUCUGGACUGUAACUGACACUGAGGCACGAAAGCGUGGGGAGCAAACA
rnacentral:rRNA from 1 species